rnacentral:rRNA from 1 species
UACGGAGAGUGCAAACGUUGUUCGGAUUCACUGGGCGUAAAGGGCACGUAGGCGGCUCGGCAAAUCGGUCGUGGAAUCCCGACGCUUACCGUCGGAACGGCGGCCGAAAAUACCGGGCUCGAGGGCGUGAGGGGUCACUGGAACUCCUGGUGAAGCGGUGAAAUGCGUAGAUAUCAGGAGGAACGCCGGUGGCGAAAGCGACUUACUGGACCGUUUCUGACACUCAAGCGCGAAAGCUAGGGGAGCAAACAGG